rnacentral:rRNA from 1 species
GGGCCCGCACAAGCAGUGGAGUAUGUGGUUUAAUUCGAAGCAACGCGAAGAACCUUACCAGGUCUUGACAUCCAGCGAAUUUUUAAGAGAUUAAGAAGUGCCCUUCGGGGAACGCUGAGACAGGUGGUGCAUGGUUGUCGUCAGCUCGUGUCGUGAGAUGUUGGGUUAAGUCCCGCAACGAGCGCAACCCUUGUUAAUAGUUGCUACGAAAGAGCACUCUAUUAAGACUGCCGUUGACAAAACGGAGGAAGGUGGGGAUGACGUCAAAUCAUCAUGCCCCUUAUGACCUGGGCUACACACGUACUACAAUGGUCGUCAACAGAGGGACGCGAAGCCGCGAGGUGGAGCAAACCCCCAAAAGCGAUCUCAGUUCAGAUUGCAGUCUGAAACCCGACUGUAUGAAGAUGGAAUUGCUAGUAAUCGCGGAUCAGCAUGCCGCGGUGAAUACGUUCCCGGGCCUU